AGGCGGACUCUCAACCACUGCACCACCAGGGAAGCCCUGCUUGGCAACACUCUUGAAUGUUGGCACACAGUGUAACCGGGAGGAGGUAUUCCCAUAGCCCUAAUCUUCUGAAGCUGUGAUUUGGCUUGCAAGAGGAAAGAAGUCUUCAUCACUGGCCUGGACGGAGCAGCCUGUGAUUAGAAAACCCUUUCACCCUCUGCUACUUGCGCCUGGGAUUGGAAGACCCUGUGGAAUGAGCCGUUAGGUUUUCCUGGGAUGAGAGAUGAAAACCACUAGCACUUGUCUUGUUAAAACUGAACAGUCAAAAGUAGCCUCAUAUGAUCCUUGGAAGACAUCUACCCUCUCUGACUGGAAGUAUUUCACAAAAGAGUCCCCACGUCUCAAGCUCUGCCAUAGCAAUUGUGUGCCUGGAGGUGACUUCAUUUAUCCGCCUGGUUCUCUCUUCCAUCCCCCAGCCGAUCUCUGCUCUUGCAUCUGCCUAUCCUUCUGACUUGGCGCUGGACCCAGGGGGCUGACACAGACUCAUUCAGGUGAAUGGCUGCUCAUACACCCACCUUUCUCCUCCAGGGCUCUCCCCUAUCCUGGGCUCCCGGGUUUUGGACUAGGAAGUGACCAGAAGCCUUGAAGGCUUGUAGGUGAAAGUGGACAAGAUGUUGGCAAGGGGUGUCCCAGAACAAUUCCCAGAAACAUGGAAGCAGGGAUGCUGGGUGAUGCAUCACUCCUCUUCCCCUCCUUCCUCAGAGCUGAGACUAUCAGCAGAGGCCAGAAAUCUUGGAGAGGAAAGUGCUGGGUGUGUGUAUGUAGCCAGGGGAAAAGAGUUACUUGUUCUGUUUUCCUUAGGGGAGGGGAGGAGAGGGGAACGGAAGGGGAGGGGAACAGAGGGGAAGGGAAGGGAAAGGGAGAUAUUCUGGCUUGGACACGACUGAUAAGGAGCUCUGGGGAGCAGAAGACAUUGACAGAGGUUAGCCCCUCAUAAGGCAGGGGUAGCAGAUGGGGUAAAGCAGUGAAACAAACAUACUCCAGUGCCCGGGGAAGAUGGACAACUCCAAGACCCUAGUUCUCCACUGUAUUGUUUUUGCCCAUCUAAUUCCCACAGUCUCAUUUAUAAUUACCACCCACAAAAGUCAACCCUUUCCCCUGAUUCUUUCUCCUUAGCCCACAGAAAGGAAUUUUUCCCAUGCUUGCCAAAAAAAGAUGCCUUGAACUCAAUUUCCUCUACCAUGAAGUCUCCCUAAGGUCUAGUUUCUGUUCCUAUACAUCAGCUCCAUGAUCAUAAGGUGCCCUUUGACUAAGAAUGAAGAAAACGAUUAUUAACAACAAAUACAGAAGGAUUUCUUUGGUGGGGGCAGUUGCAAAAAAAUACUGGCACAAAUUCUAGGGGAGAGGGUUAGGGAUUUCCUGCAUUAACAUAUAAAUUACUGGGACUUCCCUGGUGGUCCAGAGGGUAAGACUCCUAGCUUCCCAAUGCAGGCGCUGGGGUUCAAUGCCUGGUCAGGGAACUAGAUCCCAUGUGCAUGCUGCAACUAAGAGUCCGCAUGCCACAACUAAAGAUCCCACAGGACGCAACAAAGAUCCUGCGUGCCGCAACCAAGACCCAGUGCAGCCAAAAUAAAUAAAUAAGUAAAAUUUAAAAAGCCCAUGUAAAUUACAAACAUCAUACUGUAUUAAAAAAAAAUCUUGACUCUGUUGGCUCUGGAGCUUUUGGGAAGUGGACAGAAUAAAGCCUAUAGUCCUGGAUCAGUUUCACCUUUAACCUAGGCCUUUGUAGCGUGGAAACUGGCCCCAAAGAAGAGUACUACCAAUAGGCUUGUUCCCUAUUUUCCUAUGCCUUUCUCAGCAGUGGGCAGUUGGCCCCAUGAUCGGUCAGAUGCUCCUGACUCACAGGAUACCAGACAUCCUAAGCUGUGGUCAUUCCAUCCUUUCCCCUGUCUCAGUACCCCUUCCUCCACAAACAAGGGUCAACUACGCUCUUUUGCCCCCUGACUCUGUUCUUUGAACAAAUACAAACAAGAAAAAGAUGUCUUGUUCCUUCCACCCUUUCCCUGAUCACAUGUUUUCCCCACUGACGUGUGGGAAGUUCUCCCUGAUUGCUACUAGAGUUUUCUGCCAUUAUGGAGUUUAGGGAAGACAGGAGAUACACUUUGACACUUGCCUAAGAAAAAAAAAAGCCAAAAAAGCCCCCCCUGGAAAGCCCACACAUUGUGGAAAAACCUUGGGUAGGAUUUGGGGUUGGGUAGAGGUGACCAUUAAAAAUAAAUUCUCCUGUCAAAGUGUUUUCUCACCUCACUCCAUCACCAAGUUCUCAGUAUAAACAGCAAGGUUUAAAUACCCUUAUGAGGGAUCUCUUUGGCCCUGGCACAGCUUAGUUCUUUCUUAGCUGCCUCAGUAGAUGUCCUGUUCAGAUGAAUACUUUCUCUAGGACUGCGCAUGUGUCUAUUUCAAUACCAUAAAAGGAUUUAUUUACCUAAAUAUAGUCUAUGCAGAAAGCAGAAGAGGUUAGAACUCAGGGAGGACUUCGCCGUUAGCCCUGGGUGAGGGGGCGGGUGGAGGGUCAUCCUACCAGGGGAACUCAGGACAGUCUCCUAGGCGAUGCUGACACAGUCGCAGAGGUAGGGACUGGAAUGACUUCUAACCUACGGAGGGGCAAUUUCAGUUUCUCAAUAUUACUAUGUGUCAUUUAUCCCAUGAAUUAGAGAUAACAGAGAGAGUAAUCUGGAUUCAAUAUGUGGGCUCAGGUUCUGACCCAAUGUGGACUGUGGUUUUCAUUUUAACUAUAGCCCCAAAGACACAGACACACAGGGAUUCAUAACUCCAUUCUCCCUUCUGCUAUAACUGGUGGGGGGCAGCUGGGCAGGAAGGAAUGGAGAAUGAGUUCCCUGAUUCAUUUUUUUUCAGUGGAGUGGGGAUGGGGAACAGAGAACAUGUUGGUUAGGGACACUGGCUUCAACAGAAAUCACUGCCACUUACAAAUACUCUCCCUGAGGUCAUGCGAGACUGACCCUGGGUUGUAUGUGUGUUUUCUGUGAUUCAGGGCAGCUGCACUACUGAUAUGACUUGUAUAUGUCCCUGUGAGAGACAGGAAAGGGGAGGCUAGCUGGGUUGGGGUGGGGAGGGCAGGAAGGAGUAGAGAAUAAGCUGAACAGUGUUUCAGCAGCAACAGCAAAGAAAAAAUAAUCCUACGGUCAGCUAGAGGCCAGGAUAGGGUGGGGGCCAGCAGGGGACGCUUAAAACUUUUGGGACAUUCUUGGGAGGGAGUUAUCAUGGUUGUCAGAAAGGUAUUUCCAAAGAAAAAUUUUUAAAUAAGAUGCAAACUCAACUUCUAAUUCUAACUCCAGUCUCCUCAUUAAAGGGUGACCUUUCUCUGCAGAUAAGAUGGGGGUAGAGACCAACCAGACCGCUGAAGUAGCUUUUGGAACAAAAUGAGGAAUGAGGUAAGGGGGAGAUGAGAAGUAGAUAAGACCCCUGCGGAGAGACAAAGUGGGGACUAUGAGAAAACAGGGAUAGUUAGCGGCAAAGGGCACCUACCUCUUUUUCGGAGAUGUAGAGCUGGUCCCCUUUCAGCACCACGUAGCGGUUUUUCCAAAUCUCCCUGAAAAUCCCUUUCCCGCAGAAUUUCCGGACCCAGCCGACCUUCUCAGGCGGUGCAGAUUGAUGAUUUCCAUCCUGAGGCCCCUGCCCCCCGAGCCAGAUGAGAACCACACGAUUAGUUUCUUCACUUGAAAAUUGGAACCACAAGAAUAUUACCUUUUGGAUCAUGAAGAUUAAAUGAGAUAAUAUAUGAAAUGAAGUCAGAAGAUUGUCUGGCAUAUAGUACAUGCCCAAUUACUAUUAUCCCAAGUGAACAAAUGGACAAGUGUGUAAAGAUGUAUAUAAAAUGUUUGUUAUAGCACUGUUUAUAAGAGUAAAAAAAUUAUAAACAAUGAAUAUCAAAAAAUAUUUGUUUUGUUCACUGCCAUAUAUCUAGUCUCAAGAUAGCUCUUGGAAUACAUAGGUGCUCAGUAAGUACUUGUUGAGUGAACAAAAAACUGAGGAUUGGUUAAAUAAGUUGUGGCACAAUCGGACAAUAGAAUGCUAUUCAGUUAUUAAAAAUGACAUAUAUAAGUAUUUUCAUUGAAAGUACACGUAUAGUAUAUUCCACUUUAUUUAAACAUACAUGUGUAUACAUUAAUAGGAAAAAACCUAAAAGGGCAUACAUCAAGAUGGUUGAUAUUUCCAAUGGUGUGAUGGUGGUAGUAUGAAUAUUUUUAUUAUCUUAUUUUUGCUUAACUGUAUUAAAUUUUUUUCCUAUAAGGAUUACGUAUUGAUUUUGUAACAAAACGCUAUUUUUAAUUAAAAAAUAUGUUUCAAUGUACAAAUAAAUUGGAAUCAGGGGACACAGAUUUGAAUCUUGGGUUAAAUUUAGUUUUUUAAAAGAGCAUCUUGUUACAGUUAUUCAUUUAUAUGCCUAUUUUUCCAUUAGACAUUGAGAUCUUUAACGACAUAGAAUAUGUCUUCAUCUUUCUAACACCUUGCACAGUACUUUACACAUAACAGCGCUCAAUAAAUGCUUGUCAGUGACAGGUGAUACACUCCAUCACAGCUCUUGGCAAUGGUGUUUUAACACUGGUUACAGGAGAAAAGUAAACUCUCCCAAAAAUCUCUACUAAGAGAUGGUAGAUGGUGAUGGUUCCAACAGUUUCAAAACUGAUUC